UUUUGCAGCCAGAGGUUUAUCCUGGGAACUGUUGGCCAUUUAAAGGCUCCCAAGGCUUUGUUGUCAUCAAGCUUGCUGUCCGGAUCAGGCCAACAGCCUUUACCCUAGAGCACAUUCCAAGAUCCAUUUCUCCGCGUGGAUCAAUUAGAAGUGCCCCUCAAGACUUCUCUGUUUAUGGCUUGGAUGAUGAAAAUCAAGCCGAAGGGAUCCUAUUGGGACAGUACACGUUCAACGAGGAAGGGGAUUCAAUCCAGACGUUUGAGGUGCAGAAUAAAGAUGCUGCAGCAUUCAAACUAAU